rnacentral:snRNA from 1 species
GAACAGUUUCUAAAUGAGAAAC